rnacentral:rRNA from 1 species
UACGUAGGGUCCGAGCGUUGUCCGGAAUUAUUGGGCGUAAAGAGCUCGUAGGCGGUUUGUCACGUCUGCUGUGAAACUGGAGGCUCAACCUCCAGCCUGCAGUGGGUACGGGCAGACUAGAGUGCGGUAGGGGAGAAUGGAAUUCCUGGUGGUAGCGGUGGAAUGCGCAGAUAAGUCGAGGAGGAACACCGGUGGCGAAGGCGGUUCUCUGGGCCUUACCUGACACUGAGGAGCGAAAGCGUGGGGAGCGAACAGG